GUGGUUUAAUUCGAUGCAACGCGAAGAACCUUACCUGGGCUUGAACUGCAGGUAUAGCUGCCUGAAAGGUUAGUGAUCCCCUUCGGGGAACCUGUAGAGGUGCUGCAUGGCUGUCGUCAGCUCGUGUCGUGAGAUGUUGGGUUAAGUCCCGCAACGAGCGCAACCCUUGCCAUUAGUUGUCAGCGAGUCAUGUCGGAUACUCUAAUGGGACUGCCGGUGACGAGCCGGAGGAAGGUGGGGAUGACGUCAAGUCAGCAUGGCCUUUAUGUCCAGGGCCACACACGUGCUACAAUGGACGGUACAGAGGGACGCAAGACCGCAAGGUGGAGCAAAUCCUCAAAACCGUUCUCAGUUCGGAUUGUAGGCUGCAAUUCGCCUACAUGAAGCUGGAAUUGCUAGUAAUCGCAGAUCAGCUACGCUGCGGUGAAUACGUUCUCGGGCCUU
rnacentral:rRNA from 1 species